AUCAAUGAACUGUUUUGUGAUAUCAAAGCACCGAAGCCAUCCCAGGGACCCAGGCGAGGUGGUCUCGUCACUCGUCUGAUUACAAUCACGAAACAAAACAGCAUCCCUUCUGCCGCCCAAAGGCAUUCCGAUCCCAAAGAACGGGACAAAAUCAAGGGAACAAAACAGCAUUCCUUCUUCCGUCCAAAAGGCAUUCCGAUCCCAAAGAACGGAGCAAAAUCAAGAACGACAGAACAAGGACCCAACAACCUGGUAGUUGACCCCGCUUCCCCUGAGGUUGUCGCCUAGCCAUCGCCGUACCCCGGGAUAGACUCCCGUGGAACGAAAUCCAACAGUGUUCCAGCAAAAGAUAGUUCAAACAUCGAUAUGUACAUCUAGCACAUAUCUACUUCGA